rnacentral:rRNA from 1 species
UCCGACCUCGGAUCAGACGAGACUACCCGCUGAACUUAAGCAUAUCAGUAAGCGGAGGAAAAGAAACUAACCAGGAUUCCCUCAGUAACGGCGAGUGAAGCGGGAAGAGC